UAAAGAAUUUCGGUCAUCGAUGGGGAUGCGUUCCAUUAGCUUGUUGGCGGGGUAACGGCCCACCAAGGCAUCGAUGGAUAGGGGUUCUGAGAGGAAGGUCCCCCACAUUGGAACUGAGACACGGUCCAAACUCCUACGGGAGGCAGCAGUGAGGAAUAUUGGUCAAUGGGCGCUAGCCUGAACCAGCCAAGUAGCGUGAAGGAUGACUGCCCUAUGGGUUGUAAACUUCUUUUAUAUGGGAAUAAAGUGCAGUAUGUAUACUGCUUUGCAUGUACCUUAUGAAUAAGGAUCGGCUAACUCCGUGCCAGCAGCCGCGGUAAUACGGAGGAUCCGAGCGUUAUCCGGAUUUAUUGGGUUUAAAGGGAGCGUAGGCGGGUUGUUAAGUCAGUUGUGAAAGUUUGCGGCUCAACCGUAAAAUUGCAGUUGAUACUGGCAUCCUUGAGUACAGUAGAGGUAGGCGGAAUUCGUGGUGUAGCGGUGAAAUGCUUAGAUAUCACGAAGAACUCCGAUUGCGAAGGCAGCCUGCUGGACUGUAACUGACGCUGAUGCUCGAAAGUGUGGGUAUCAAACAGGAUUAGAUACCCUGGUAGUCCACACAGUAAACGAUGAAUACUCGCUGUUUGCGAUA
rnacentral:rRNA from 1 species